UCCCUGAUGACUCGGAUGGUAAAAGGUCUGCCUGUAAUGCAGAAGACCCAGGUUCCUUCCCUGGGUGGGGAA
rnacentral:tRNA from 1 species